rnacentral:rRNA from 1 species
GUGGGGAAUAUUGGACAAUGGGCGAAAGCCUGAUCCAGCCAUGCCGCGUGAGUGAUGAAGGCCUUAGGGUUGUAAAGCUCUUUCAGUAGGGAAGAUAAUGACGGUACCUACAGAAGAAGCCCCGGCUAACUUCGUGCCAGCAGCCGCGGUAAUACGAAGGGGGCUAGCGUUGUUCGGAUUUACUGGGCGUAAAGCGCACGUAGGCGGAUUGGUCAGUUAGAGGUGAAAUCCUUGAGCUCAACUCCAGAACUGCCUUUAAUACUGCCAGUCUAGAGUCCAGAAGAGGUGAGUGGAACUCCUAGUGUAGAGGUGGAAUUCGUAGAUAUUAGGAAGAACACCAGUGGCGAAGGCGGCUCACUGGUCCGGUACUGACGCUGAGGUGCGAAAGCGUGGGGAGCAAACAGGAUUAGAUACCCGUGUAGUCC